rnacentral:rRNA from 1 species
GAUGAACGCUGGCGGCGUGCCUAAUACAUGCAAGUCGAGCGAACAGACGAGGAGCUUGCUCCUCUAACGUUAGCGGCGGACGGGUGAGUAACACGUGGAUAACCUACCUAUAAGACUGGGAUAACUUCGGGAAACCGGAGCUAAUACCGGAUAAUAUAUUGAACCGCAUGGUUCAAUAGUGAAAGACGGUUUUGCUGUCACUUAUAGAUGGAUCCGCGCCGCAUUAGCUAGUUGGUAAGGUAACGGCUUACCAAGGCAACGAUGCGUAGCCGACCUGAGAGGGUGAUCGGCCACACUGGAACUGAGACACGGUCCAGACUCCUACGGGAGGCAGCAGUAGGGAAUCUUCCGCAAAGGGCGAAAGCUUGACGGAGCAACGCCGCGUGAGUGAUGAAGGUCUUCGGAUCGUAAAACUCUGUUAUUAGGGAAGAACAAAUGUGUAAGUAACUAUGCACGUCUUGACGGUACCUAAUCAGAAAGCCACGGCUAACUACGUG